rnacentral:rRNA from 1 species
GCGGCCUAUCAGCUUGUUGGUGAGGUAAUGGCUCACCAAGGCAACGACGGUAGCCGGCCUGAGAGGGCGACCGGCCACACUGGGACUGAGACACGGCCCAGACUCCUACGGGAGGCAGCAGUGGGGAAUAUUGGGCAAUGGAGGAAACUCUGACCCAGCGACGCCGCGUGCGGGAUGAAGGCCUUCGGGUUGUAAACCGCUUUCAGUAGGGAAGAAGCGAAAGUGACGGUACCUACAAAAGAAGCACCGGCUAACUAUGUGCCAGCAGCCGCGGUAAUACAUAGGGUGCAAGCGUUGUCCGGAAUUAUUGGGCGUAAAGAGCUCGUAGGUCGUUUGUUACGUCGGAUGUGAAAACCUGAGGCUCAACCUCAGGCCUGCAUUCGAUACGGGCAAACUAGAGUUUGGUAGGGGAGACUGGAAUUCCU